ACUGAACGCUGGCGGCAGGCCUAACACAUGCAAGUCGAACGAGUGGCGGACGGGAGAGUAAUGUCUUGGAAAUUGCCUGAUGGCGGGGGCUAACUACUGGAAAACGUAGAUAAUACCGCAUACCAUCGGAUGUGCCCAGAUGGGAUUAGCUAGUAGGUGGGGUAAAGGCUCACCUAGGCGACGAUACCUAGCUGGUCUGAGAGGCUGACCGGCCAAACUGGAACUGAGACACGGUCCAGACUACUACGGGAGGCAGAAGUGGGGAAUCUUGGAGAAUGGCGGCAAGCGUGAUGCAGCCAUGCCGCGGGUAUGAAGAAGGACCUCGGGUUGUAAAGUGCUUUCAGUGGGGAGGCGUUACCCGCACAAGAAGCACCGGCUAACUCCGUGCCAGCAGCCGCGGUAAUAC
rnacentral:rRNA from 1 species